GGCAUGGUGGCUCAAUGGUUAGAGCACCCGCCUCAUGAACGGGAGGUCGUGGGUUCGAAUCCCGGUCGAGUCA
rnacentral:tRNA from 1 species